GUUAACAUUAUCGUUAUGUGAUACUUAUAAAGACUAAGGAGCUGGUCCCUGAAAUCAUAAGUUCUAAAAUUUUGCAUAACAUUCUCUUAAAUAAGUUGAUUGCUAUUAACUCAGAAGUUACCACAUAAACGAAGAAAUUUGGAAAAUAACUGUAGAACCAUGCAAGAGACGUAGACAUAUAACAACAAGCAAUGCAAAUAGCAUACAACUCUCAAGUUUUUUUAAUAUCUAAUAAAUAAAUUCAGAAAUUGUUUAUUAACCCUAAAUGCUUCUGAUGUGCACCACCAGUGCAAGAAAAUGAACAGAUGGCCUGGAGACACAAAUAUAUUAAACUGGUAUAUAAGUCAUAUAGAAUAUGCUGUAAAAAUGAGAUCAAAACCUAGACAUUGUUUUAUUUGAAGAACACACAAUUUUUCACUGAGAUAAGUAAGACAAUGAAUCUUCAAGCAUUAUCAUUUGGUUUAUUAAUGUCAUUCUUUUGAGAAUUUCACAGAAUAAGUUAAAAAGUUCACAAAGCUGUAAAAAUUUCACAGAAUUAUCAUUUGGUUUAUCUAGAUUCACAGCUCCUCUUUGUUGACAAAUAUUAGAAAAUUUGGUAUGUUGUUUGUAUGUGUUUGAGCUAUGUAGUAGGUCUAGUGAGCUGCAAACAGCUGACUAGUUCUUAAACUUGUGGAUAGAAUAGGGAUAUGCUCCUAAUUUAAAAAAUGGCUUAUUCAUGGUCAUUAAAAAUAACAAUAUGCAAAAAAACUAAUUGGAACAUCCUUCUUUCGGCAGGGCCAUGGUCACAUGACUAGUAAUUAAUGUAAGAAAAUUUACAAAUCACCAAACAAUGGCGAGUGAAGAACACAAAUUAGCUACAAGAAAACCAUGCUAGCAUAAAGGCAUAAUUCUUCUAAACAACUUUUAAAGACAUGAAUAUACAUGUAUUUGCUUAAAAACUAUAGAAAAGCUAGAAAACUGCAGUGACUCAUCACUCAAUUUCAUAUUGAAAUUAAUCCAAAAACUUCUUUACAUGUAAGAGGAAGUAAUAUCCCUAACAUCAGAGGGCGUGAAAGCCAAGAUCAAGAGAACAACAAAUAUGCCAAUCUACUUCUGUAUUACUAAAGGAGAACAACAAAAAAGAUCAAAUGAACAAUAACUUUCAAAAAUAAUCUAAAAAUUUAAAUGGACCAACCAACGUACUAAAAAUUUAUAACUAAAAGAAAUUCUUGCUAUGUACAGUAAAAUUUCUCAUCUUCCACGUAUUUUAAUAUCAAUUUCCCACAACCGUCUAUUGUAACUCAGCCUCCCACGUUUCCUAUAACCAACUCCCACCUCUGAUAAUUCCAAACUCUCCCACCUCCUGUAACUCCACGUUCAUGCCGGUUUCAAAAAUUCUUCAAAAGACGAAGCUUAAAUAAAACGAGAGAGUGUAAGCGAAGCGAAGAGGAGAGAGCAACGAGACCUCAGAUCCCGCAAUUUCUAAAUCAGAUCUGAUUCCAAAUCCCCCAAAGAUUUAGGGUUUGAUAGAAGGAGGGGGAGGAGAUGCUGACGAAAUUUGAAACUUUGGUCGCGUUUAUUGAGAAAUUUGAAGGUUAGGUUUAGGGUUUGUACUCUGGAGAUGGGGGGAAGAGGCGGGAGUUGACGAAACGGGAGGCCUUGGGCGACGCCCUCCUAUAUAUGCACUUUAUACAUAUUUUCUGAUGAUCCUUUUACAAUUAGGUUAUAUAUAGUAUGGAACUCUUUGUGUAGUAAUUUUGUUUUGUUUAUUAAGCAUUAAGUUAUUCAUCUGACUGAGUCACAUUUCCUACCAGAUCAUUAAACAUUUUGAUGGAUGCAAAGCCGACUUGGUUGUUUGUGAUGGUGCUCCUGAUGUUACCGGACUUCAUGAUAUGGAUGAAUUCGUUCAGUCGCAACUUAUUUUGGCAGCACUGACCAUUGUUACUCACGUGCUUCGAGUGGGUGGUAAAUUCAUUGCUAAGAUAUUUCGUGGUACAGAUGCAAGCCUCCUCUAUUGCCAAGAAUUGGGUAUCUAGCCUUCGAUAAAGGAGCACAAAUUUUGGACACAUAAGAUCAUUUGUGUACGGUAAAAUCAGUUUUCCUUAGGAAUUUGCAGAAAAUUUUUUAGAAACCGUGCUUUGCACUGGUCUAAAUACUAGUUGGGAGUAAUAGCAACAUAAAAAGGCGGGGAAGGCAACGGUGGCAAAAUAAGCAGAAGAAUCACUAACGACGCAGUGAUGCAGAGAA